ACUGGGCAUGGUGGCUUGUGCCUGUAGUCCCAGCUACUGGGGAGGCUGAGGUGGGAGGAUCACUUGAGCCCAGGAGUUUGAAGCUGCAGUGAGCUAUGAUUGUGCCACUGCACUCCAGCCUGGGCCACAUAGUGAGACAUUACCUCUU
rnacentral:SRP_RNA from 1 species